rnacentral:tRNA from 1 species
ACCUGGCUGGCUCAGUCAGUGGGGCGCGUGAACUCUUGAAUUCGGGGUUGUGGGUUCAAGUCCCACGUCGGGUG